rnacentral:rRNA from 1 species
AGAGUUUGAUCCUGGCUCAGGACGAACGCUGGCGGCGUGCUUAACACAUGCAAGUCGAGCGGUAAGGCCCUUCGGGGUACACGAGCGGCGAACGGGUGAGUAACACGUGGGUGACCUGCCCCCUACUCUGGGAUAAGCCUGGGAAACUGGGUCUAAUACCGGAUAUGACAUAGUCCUGCAUGGGGUUGUGUGGAAAGCCGGGGACAUUGUUUCUGGCGGUGGGGGAUGGGCCCGCGGCCUAUCAGCUUGUUGGUGGGGUGAUAGCCUACCAAGGCGACGACGGGUAGCCGGCCUGAGAGGGCGACCGGCCACACUGGGACUGAGACACGGCCCAGACUCCUACGGGAGGCAGCAGUGGGGAAUAUUGCGCAAUGGGCGGAAGCCUGACGCAGCGACGCCGCGUGGGGGAUGACGGCCUUCGGGUUGUAAACCUCUUUCGGCCCCGACGAAGCGUGAGUGACGGUAGGGGUAGAAGAAGCACCGGCCAACUACGUGCCAGCAGCCGCGGUAACACGUAGGGUGCGAGCGUUGUCCGGAAUUAUUGGGCGUAAAGAGCUCGUAGGCGGUGUGUCGCGUCGGCCGUGAAAACCUGCAGCUUAACUGUGGGCUUGCGGUCGAUACGGGCAUCACUGGAGUUCGGCAGGGGAGACUGGAAUUCCUGGUGUAGCGGUGAAAUGCGCAGAUAUCAGGAGGAACACCGGUGGCGAAGGCGGGUCUCUGGGCCGAUACUGACGCUGAGGAGCGAAAGCGUGGGGAGCGAACAGGAUUAGAUACCCUGGUAGUCCACGCCGUAAACGGUGGGCGCUAGGUGUGGGGGCCAUUCCACGGUCUCUGUGCCGUAGCUAACGCAUUAAGCGCCCGCCUGGGGAGUACGGCCG